rnacentral:lncRNA from 1 species
GCCUCGAUUUGAAAAGGUUCCAGCAUCGGUGCGCCAAAUGCCAAAAUAUCUGGAAACAAUCGAGUACGAAAAUCAAGGAGGCAAUUUCGACUGUGAAAAUUUUUCUGUACUUCCUUCAUUCGAAACCCAAACUCGGAAGUAGGGAGACUGGUGUUGGGUAUAAAAUAACUCCAGCCGAAAUUCGUAAGAGGCCAACCCUCCCAGGACUCUUCUGGCUUCCGACCUUAUGCGGCGUCUUUCUGAAC